rnacentral:rRNA from 1 species
CAUGCAAGUCGAGCGGGCGUAGCAAUACGUCAGCGGCAGACGGGUGAGUAACGCGUGGGAACGUACCUUUUGGUUCGGAACAACCCAGGGAAACUUGGGCUAAUACCGGAUAAGCCCUUACGGGGAAAGAUUUAUCGCCGAAAGAUCGGCCCGCGUCUGAUUAGCUAGUUGGUGAGGUAAUGGCUCACCAAGGCGACGAUCAGUAGCUGGUCUGAGAGGAUGAUCAGCCACAUUGGGACUGAGACACGGCCCAAACUCCUACGGGAGGCAGCAGUGGGGAAUAUUGGACAAUGGGCGCAAGCCUGAUCCAGCCAUGCCGCGUGAGUGAUGAAGGCCCUAGGGUUGUAAAGCUCUUUUGUGCGGGAAGAUAAUGACGGUACCGCAAGAAUAAGCCCCGGCUAACUUCGUGCCAGCAGCCGCGGUAAUACGAAGGGGGCUAGCGUUGCUCGGAAUCACUGGGCGUAAAGGGUGCGUAGGCGGGUCUUUAAGUCAGGGGUGAAAUCCUGGAGCUCAACUCCAGAACUGCCUUUGAUACUGAAGAUCUUGAGUUCGGGAGAGGUGAGUGGAACUGCGAGUGUAGAGGUGAAAUUCGUAGAUAUUCGCAAGAACACCAGUGGCGAAAGCGGCUCACUGGCCCGAUACUGACGCUGA